rnacentral:misc_RNA from 1 species
GAUCCUAUGAAGAUUAUUGAUGGCCAUCAGGUUCUCUGCAAAAUGGCGGUUGAUAACAAAAAAGCUAAGACGGAAGGUGGUGUGGUUGGUGAUAAUGCACAACCACAGCCACCACCACAACCACAGUCUUCAAUGCCUGGUUCCCAGUAUGGUGUUCCAGGUAGUUUGCCACCCUAUGGAGGGUUUUCUGGAUUGGGUACUAGUGGAUAUGGUUUGAAUUCUUCAUUGCCAGGUUCAAUUGGUAGUGGAGGCUAUGGUGGUCCCUAUGGUGUUUCACAGUUUGGGGGACCAAGUUCUGGUGAGUUUGGCGGAUUGAACAGCGCUGGGAAUUCUAUGUAUAGGAUGCCUCCAAGUUCGGUUGGAAUGGCUUCUGGGGGAUAUCCAGAUGGUGCCCCUUAUGGGCUGUCUCAGCAACACCAGCCAUCACCAUUGCC